rnacentral:rRNA from 1 species
AAUUAACGCUGGCGGCAUGCGUAACACAUGCAAGUCGUACGAGAAAGCCCGGUUCGCCGGGCGAGUAAAGUGGCGCACGGGUGAGUAACGCGUGGGUAAUCUACCCCGGUCUGGGGGAUAACGCACCGAAAGGUACGCUAAUACCGCAUGACCCGACGGGUCCCUGGACCCAUCGGCAAAGGUGGCCUCUGCAUGCAAGCUACCGAACCGGGAUGAGCCCGCGUCCUAUUAGCUUGUUGGUGGGGUAAUGGCCCACCAAGGCGACGAUGGGUAGCUGGUCUGAGAGGACGGCCAGCCACACUGGAACUGGUACACGGUCCAGACUCCUACGGGAGGCAGCAGUGAGGAAUAUUGCGCAAUGGGGGAAACCCUGACGCAGCGAUGCUGCGUGGGUGAAGAAGGCCUUCGGGUCGUAAAGCCCUGUCAGGCGGGAAGAAUAGCCCCGGGGCUAAUAUCUCCGGGGUGUGACGGUACCGCUGAAGGAAGCACCGGCUAACUCCGUGCCAGCAGCCGCGGUAAGACGGAGGGUGCGAGCGUUAUUCGGAAUUAUUGGGCGUAAAGGGCGUGCAGGCGGCCGGCCAAGUCUGAUGUGAAAGCCCGGGGCUUAAACUCGGAAGGGCGUUGGGAACUGGUUGGCUUGAGUUCGGGAGAGGGAAGCGGAAUUUCCGGUGUAAAGGUGAAUUCGUAAAAUCCGGAGGGACACGGUGGCGAAGGCGGUUUUCUGGACCGAACUGACGCUGAGAAGCAAAGCGGGGGGAAGCAACAGAUUAAAUACCCUGGUAGUCACGCUGUAAACGAUGGGACAUAGGGUGGGGGG